AGAAGACAACAAUAGUCAAUCAUGAAGCUCAUCUUUCUGACUGCAAGUGUGCUUUUUCUCAUUACAUUGACUAAGGCCUCAGAGCUUGAAGGCUUUGAAGACUUUGAAGAGAGGAACGAUAUUGAUCAAAGUGAGGCUGAUGAUGCUUUGGCUCCAAAAGCUGCAGCAACAAGUCUGUGCAGCAUUGAUAUGAAGGCACUCAAUGCAGUAAUAAACAAGGCCAUUGAUUCAAAAUUUCAAAAUCAGCCAGUGAGUCAGAUUUUCAACUGUGGACUGAUGUAGCCAGAAAUUUGAAUAUCCAAAAAAUAAAUGGAGGGACACUCCAGGCUGAGGGCAAGAUACUUGAGAAAAUUGCAAUUGGAAGUGGUACCGCUGCUAAAAAUGGUGCAUAUCUGGCUUAUCGACCGAAAUACAAUGCUGAUCAUAAAACUGGUCUUGCAGGGGGCCAUAUUUAUAAACCUCGAGAAGCUAUUCCCAUGUGCCAAGUCAGCGAUUCGUCCUAUAUGCAGCAGGUCCACAUUUGAGGAGGAUGGAUUCCUGAAAGGAAAGGCACUCAUCAAAGCUGCUGAUUCUAGCAAUAACCUAAAAAUCUUUGGCAACAACAUCAACACCUACGGGAUUGCAAUUCAAGGCUGUUCAUAUCUUAAUGGAUAUAAUGGCUGCCUUCCUAAAUAUUAUCAA